rnacentral:lncRNA from 1 species
CCGGGUUCUCGCCAUUCUCCUGCCUCAGCCUUCCGAGUAGCUGGGACUAUAGGUGCCCGCCACCACGCCAGGCUAAUUUUUUGUAUUUUUAGUAGAGAUGGGGUUUCACCGUGUUAGCCAGGAUGGUCUCGAUCUUCUGACCUCGUGAUCCGCCCGCCUCGGCCUCCCAAAGUGCUAGGAUUACAGGCGUGAGCCACCGCGCCCGGCAGCAAAUUUUAAUACUACUUCUCCUUCCUGAUGCCACGUGAAGAAGGACAUGUUUGGUUACCCUUCUGCCAUGAUUCUGAGUUCCCUGAGGCCUCCUCAGCCCUGCAGAACUGACAGCAGUUGGUUGACAUUUAAAGGGCUACUGUCCCAGAAGGCUGCUUGCCUGGGCCCAUGGCACUGCCAGAAAUCACAAGACUAAGCUGAAAAAGCACAAAGAAGUUUCCUUUCAUUCCAGGAACCUCUUGGCUUGAAUAUGAAAUAGCCUCUUAGUGACACUACACUGCAAUUUCAAAUAAUAGGUUUUUUAUCACCUCUUUGAGAAAUAUCACCUUGGGUUCAUCCCAGAAAAAUAAUACAAAGUAGAAUUUUUUCAAACGUAAUCCCCUUGGGUUCCUCUCAGAAAAAAAUAGAAAGUAGAAUUCUUUCAAACUUAAUCCCCUCUUUGUAUUUGUCUCCUCUGCAUCUCUCCAAAGUAGAUGGGUAGGAGAGGGAAACAGUGCUGUAGAAAAUGGGACAAGAACACACCCUAAUAAAACAAGAAAACAUGGUUUGCCAGAGGUCUCCUUUCCCAGGCUCAAGCCUCAAGUUUCUAAUUGUCCCUACAUUACUCCCACAAAUGCCUUUCUGGGAGAGUCUUGUAUGCUAGACCUCUGCCAUCUUCCCAUCCUUUCUCCCUUCCUCCUAACCUUCACUCUUGAGAAAGACUCAUCCUGGCUUCUGUGUCCAUAGAACCUUGAAGCAGCUUUCUGGUGAGGAGGUGAGCUACUUCCUGCAAAACUACUAGUAGCUGCUAUUGAUUAAUGUAUUCUUCCAACCAGGUAAUGUAUUCCUGUUCCAACAGAAGUCUUCUUGAGACAUAUCUGAAAGUGACAUAGUAACCAGAAGGAAGAUUUUUGGAGGGUUCUUGAACUAGCUCUACAUAGGAAACUGCCAACAAUAACUUCCUGUGGCAUUUGUUAAGUUGUGAUUCUGCCCCUCACUGCUUGACUUAGUCCUCUUGACAAGGGCCAGGAGGAGAAAACAGGUCUCAAAGAACAGUGUACAUCAAAGCCUGGCUUUCCAGCAAUGCCUGACCCUGCCAAAGAAGGCAGGGAAGCCCCCACAGAGCCUCUUAGAAACCUCAACUCCCUCAGCCUCUUGUCCCAGAGCAUCACUGGCAGGUAUAGACCAAGCAUAUCCACAUCCACACGUACGUCUUUUUUGCUUUUAUUCAUUUUAGUUUAUAACAACUAUUUAUUUAGGACGUGGUUCUGUGAGCUGUUAAAUUGUUCUAUUGUCAGAUCAUAGCUGUAUACAUUUGUGGGGUGUCAAAACGAUGUUUUAACAUAUACAUACAAUCAGUGUGAUUAAAUCAAGCUAAUUAACACAUCCAUCACCUUGCUUACCUAUCUUUUUUAUGGUGAGACAUUUGAAAUUUACUCUCUUAGUUGUUUUGAAAUAUACAAUGCAGUAUUAUUGACUAUAGUCACCCUGGUAUACAAUAUAUCUCAAAAUCUAUCCCUACUGUCUCUCUGAAACUUUGUACCCUUUGAUUAACAACUCCCAUUCCCCUUUCAAUCUGAAACAUUGUACCCUUUCAUCAGCAACUCCUCAUUCCCUCCCUCCCAGCCCACUCUUAGCCUCUUUCUACUCUCUAUUUCUAUGAGUUCAACUUUGUUAGAUUUUUACAUGUAAGUGAGAUCAUGCAGCAUUUGUCUUUCUGUGCCUGGUUUAUUUUACUUAGCAUAAUGUCCUUCAGAUUCAUCCGUGUUGAUGCAAGUGACAGGAUUUCUCCCUUUUUAAGGCUGAAUAAUUUUCUAUUGUGUAUGUUUCACAUUUCCUUUAUACACUCAUCCAUUGAUGGAUACCUAAGUUGUUUCAUGUUUUAGCUAUUGUGAAUAAUGCUGCAAUAAACAUGCAGAGUACAGAUAUUCUGUUGACAUAUUGAUUUCAGUUUCUUUAUAUAUUCAGAAGUGCGAUUACUAGGUCAUACGGUAGUUCUAUUUUUAAUUUUUUGAGGAACCUCCAUGUUAGUUUCCAUAAUUGAUGUAUAAAUCACAUUCUCACCAACAGGGUAUGAGUUUUCUUUUUCUGCAUCCACUCCAAGAUUUGUUAUCUUUCUUCUUCUUGAUAAAAGCCACAUUAACAGAUGUGAGGUGAUAUCUCAUUGUGGUUUUAACUUGAAUUUCCCUAAUGAUUAGUGAUGCUGG